rfam:Protostrongylus rufescens 28S rRNA gene
CAACCUGAACUCAGAUGUGAUUACCCGCUGAACUUAAGCAUAUCAUUCAGCGGAGGAAAAGAAACUAACUAGGAUUCCCAAAGUAACGGCGAGUGAACUGGGAAAAGCCCAGCGCUGAAUCUUUCGAUAGUAUGUCGUAAAGAAAUGUAGCGUAUAGGCAUAAUUUUCGGCUUGUUUGGCAUGUCCAAAGUUCCUUUGAUAGGGACCAUCAUCCAGAGAGGGUGCGAGGCCUGUGCGGAUAGCUGAACGUGCCGUAUGAUUAUGCCUUGGAGUCGGGUUGCUUGAAAGUGCAGCCUUAAGUGGGUGAUAAACUUCAUCUAAGGCUAAAUACGGACGUGAAUUCGAUAGCAAACAAGUACUGUGAAGGAAAGUUGCAAAGAACUUUGAAGAGAGAGUUCAAGAGAACGUGAAAUCGUUGAGGUGGAACCGGAGAGAGUUGACGUAGUCUGGUGGAUAAGUAUUAUAAGAAUCGUAUUCAUUAGUUUGAAUAUGAUCAAAUAAUAUGUAUGCCAUCAAUGACUGUGCUGACAGCAUCGGCUGCACAAUCCGAACUAUGUCGACAUGUUGCUCAUUCUAUUAAUUUAGAGUGAUGUCUUGUGUUACGUUGUAAGGUUUGUUGCGUGUUGAUGUUGAUAAAUGUGUAAUUAUUUGUAAAAUAAUUAUGUCAGCGUAAAAGUCAACCACCUCUCCGACCCGUCUUGAAACACGGACCGAGGAGUGUAACUUGUACGCAAGUCAAUGGGUGGAAAACCUUAAGGCGAAAUGAAAGUGAAGGCACGGUUAACCGGCUGACAUGGGAAACGUCUUCGAUCACAGCGGAAGAUGUUGCACCAUGGCCCUGUCUUGUCUGCAUGCAGAUGGGCAGUGGUAGAGCGUACAGGUUGCGACCCGAAAGAUGGUGAACUAUGCCUGAGCAGGAUGAAGUCAGAGGAAACUCUGAUGGAAGUCCGUAUCGGUUCUGACGUGCAAAUCGAUCGAUAGACUUGGGUAUAGGGGCGAAAGACUAAUCGAACCAUCUAGUAGCUGGUUCCCUCCGAAGUUUCCCCCAGGAUAGCUGGAGUUCAUUGUGGCGGUUAUAUCCGGUAAAGCGAAUGAUUAGAGGACUUGGGGUCGAAACGACCUCAACCUAUUCUCAAACUUUCAAUGGGUAUGUUGUCUCGGUUUCUUCAACAUGUCAUUGUUUUUGACAACAUUGACACACUGAACUGUUGACACGAACGUGAACUCUAAGUGGGCCAUUUUUGGUAAGCAGAACUGGCGCUGUGGGAUGAACCAAACGUUGGGUUAAGGUGCCAAACUAUUCGCUCAUUAGAUCCCAUAAAAGGCGUUGGUUGAUAUAGACAGCAGGACGGUGGCCAUGGAAGUCGGUAUCCGCUAAGGAGUGUGUAACAACUCACCUGCCGAAUCAACUAGCCCUGAAAAUGGAUGGCGCUUGAGCGAAUGACCUAUACCCAACCGUUGCUGGCAUGAGUGUGCGUGUAGUGUGGUGUCUCAUCACCAUCACGUACGCCGCCUGGCCGCAACGAGUAGGAGGGUCGUGGCGGUUGCGUUGAAGGUUUUGGGCGUAGGCCCAGCUGGAGCUUCCGUCAGUGCAGAUCUCGGUGGUAGUAGCAAAUAUUUAAGUUCGAUCCUUGAAGACUGAAGUGGAGAAGGGUUCCACGUGAACAGUAGUUGAAUGUGGGUCAGUCGAUCCUAAGAUACUGGCUUAUGCCUUGUAUCAUUGAGAGGGAAAAGUUCACUUUUCUCUCGGAUAUCAAAAGGGAAUAGGGUUAAUAUUCCCUAACGUAGACACAGAGAUUGCGAUUCGUAUGAGUCGCUUGCGCGGUAACGCAUGCGAACUUGGUUACGUCGCUCAGAGAUCGAGCUAGAGUUCUCUUCUCUAGUUAAGGAACGGACUCCCUGGAAUCGGUUCAGCCGUAGAUAGGGACGUUGUUUCCGUAAAGCAUCGCGGUUUCUGUGAUGUCUCGUGUUCUCUGGACGGCCCUUGAAAAACCAAGGAAGGCUAUUAAUCUGUGCUACAUCGUACCGAUAUCCCCAUCAGGUCUCCAAGGUGAACAGCCUCUAGUCGAUAGAAUAAUGUAGGUAAGGGAAGUCGGCAAAUUAGAUCCGUAACUUCGGGAAAAGGAUUGGCUCCAGUGACCGGGUCGGUUGGCCUGUUAAUUGAUGCUUGUGCGGUUUUACCCGUGGCCGGCAGAUGUGUGUUGAAAUAUACGUGCUGACGCUGGACUAGUGAUAAGACCACCUUGUGGACGUUUACAGGUGUGUGCUUUGUCUUCGGACUUAGUAUCCUGAUCGACCAUCGAAACGGUCGAACUGGAACUGGUACGGACUCGGGGAAUCCGACUGUCUAAUUAAAACAGAGGAGACAGAUGGUCCUUGCGGACGUUUACUGUCUCUGAUUUCUGCCCAGUGCUCUGAAUGUUAAAUCGUAGUAAUUCGAGUAAGCGCGGGUAAACGGCGGGAGUAACUAUGACUCUCUUAAGGUAGCCAAAUGCCUCGU